rnacentral:lncRNA from 1 species
ACAAAAUGAUACAAUAAAUUCUUAGAUCUUGCAUGAUGUGUGGGAUUUUUACUUCAUAUGUAUCUAGAAUUUUCAUUGAUUUUCGGGUCAACAAUUUUUGACAACUUGAAUAUCCUUGAAAUUGAUUUUUCAAAAUGUAUUUAUGAAAUGUUAGUUGAAGUUUUUGGAUGGAAAUUGGUUAUUUUUGUUGAUUAAACAUUGAGGAAUAAUAUAUAUUUUUUCUAAAAUUUUUUGAGCUUAUUUUAAAUU